CCUACGGGAGGCAGCAGUGAGGAAUAUUGGUCAAUGGACGAGAGUCUGAACCAGCCAAGUAGCGUGAAGGAUGACUGCCCUAUGGGUUGUAAACUUCUUUUAUAUGGGAAUAAAACGUUCCACGUGUGGGAUUUUGUAUGUACCAUAUGAAUAAGGAUCAGCUAACUCCGUGCCAGCAGCCGCGGUAAUACGGAGGAUCCGAGCGUUAUCCGGAUUUAUUGGGUUUAAAGGGAGCGUAGGUGGAUUGUUAAGUCAGUUGUGAAAGUUUGCGGCUCAACCGUAAAAUUGCAGUUGAAACUGGCAGUCUUGAGUACAGUAGAGGUGGGCGGAAUUCGUGGUGUAGCGGUGAAAUGCUUAGAUAUCACGAAGAACUCCGAUUGCGAAGGCAGUUCACUGGACUGCAACUGACACUGAGGCUCGAAAGUGUGGGUAUCAAACAGGAUUAGAUACCCUUGUAGUC
rnacentral:rRNA from 1 species